GUAAGUUCCGACCUGCACGAAUGGUGCAACGAUCUGGACACUGUCUCGACCAUGAUCUCGGUGAAAUUGUAGUAUCGGUGAAGAUGCCGGUUACCCGCAGUGGGACGAAAAGACCCCGUGCACCUUUACUAUAGCUUCGUAUUGACCUUGGUCAAACAAUGUGUAGGAUAGCUGGGAGGCUUCGAAGCCCUGCCGCCAGGCAGGGUGGAGCCGUUGUUGAAAUACCAGCCUUUGUUUGUCCGGGGCCUAACCCCGUUUAUCGGGGGACAGUGCGUGGUGGGUAGUUUGACUGGGGUGGUCGCCUCCAAAAGGGUAACGGAGGCUUCCAAAGGUGCCCUCAGCACGCUUGGCAACCGUGCGCAGAGUGCAAUGGCACAAGGGCGCUUGACUGUGAGACAUACAGGUCGAACAGGUAGGAAACUAGAGCAUAGUGAUCCGGUGGUUCCGCAUGGAAGGGCCAUCGCUCAAAGGAUAAAAGGUACGCCGGGAUAACAGGCUGAU
rnacentral:rRNA from 1 species